GGUCUGCGCGGCGCGACGCGGCGCGGGGCGGCCCAGGGCUGGGCCUCCGCCUCCAGUCCCGCGCGAAAUCCGAAAGCGGUGUCCCUCGCGCCAGUGCUCCAGCUCUAUGGGCGGUUCCCGGGAACCCGGCACUUUUGCGCAACCCGGUCCCUGUCGUAAGCCACACAUGUAUUUUCAGCCCAGCUCCCUCUGUAACGCUAGGCCCCCGCCCUGCAGUUCCCUCUCCGUGCCCCACAGGUGACGCAGCUUCAGUCCAAAACUGAGCUCCCGCCGCAUCUUUGACCAGUCGGCCCCCAUAGGGUUUCCCACCUCCUGGGUGUCCCCUCCGUGCUUUACGCCUCUUCUUCACAUCUGGCUCCCAGGACUUCUACCUAUGAAGAGACUGAAAGCAGAUGCCUGCCCAGAAUAUGCCUUUUUAGCGUAGGGUUAUUUUAAAUUGAUUAUUUUGCGAAAAAGGAGAACUUUGAAAACAGAGAAGUUACCCGUUUGUAAGGGAAAUUUUUAUGAAGGAAACCUCCAUGGGUAAGGGUGUCUCCCUGUACCAGGAGGAGGAUGACUAAGAAGAAUCUUGCCUUGCGGUCGCCCACUGAAAUAUACCUAGUAAACCUUAGCCUUGCUCUCGGUGCUUUUCCCUCAUGGCCUUCCCAUAACUGGCCUCCCCACACUUUUCUUUCCUUUGUCUUUAGCUGAAGAUGGUAUCUAAACAGGUAUUUUAGGCCACCUCAGGAAGUUACUCGUUUUCCCCUGGGUAUCUCCCAUAUAUGACAUGUUAAUAAAUUGUUUUUUUUUUUUUCUCUCUUAUUCCUCUGUCUUAUUUCAGAGGUCUCAGCCAAGAGCUCAGAGGUUAGGGGAAAAUUCUUUUUCCUCUCCUGCAAGAUCUUUCCCAUCAGUCCCGUGCCUCAGCCCAGUUCAGCCAGGCCUAUAUCUGUGGCAGGAAUUACUGCCAUGGGCUCUUGAUUGCUUUCCUGACUUCGUGGCUGCGGAAUUCCCCCCCCCCCCCCCCCCCCGCCCCAUUUCCCACAGUCACCAGACUUCUUGUUGGGCUAUGGCCUCACAGGCCUGUAAGGUCUGUACUUGCCCAGCUUCAGCUUCAGCAAGACCCAAGAAUGAGCCUGGAAUCAGCAGCGGAGACAUCAGCGUUUCAUGGACUGGGGGAUCUUACAUGUCCGAAGCAAGGUCCAGGAGCGACACCCUAUUAUGUGCUGCAGAAGGUCCGCGGUUUGCACGCCUUGCGUGGAAUUUACAUAGACAAUGUACGUCUAACGGGCACCAUGCGGCCAGCGAUGGACAAAUGCCCGUGGGGCUGGAACUCAAGCGUCGUGAAGCUGUUUUCGUGGUGCACCAUGGAGAUGAAGAUGCUGCGUCUCAGUGAGGUUGUCUGACUUUCUGGGUCACUCAGCUGAUUCGGGGCCAGGGAUGAAACUCAUGUCUCUGCAGUGGACCCAAGUGGCUGCCAUCAGGUUCUUAACCCACUGCACCACAGGGGGAACACCUCAGCCACUUUCUCCAUCUGCUUCCCCUUCACCUCCCCCCUCCUGCCACGGUUGUGGUCCUCUGCCCAUCCCCCCACGCUGCCGAAACAGGAAAGUGGGGAUGAGUGAAGAGACGUGCAGGGCUGGCUUAUGAUGGCUCUGAAAACACGCAGUGGGGUCUGACCCCAAAGACAUUCGCGUCGUUUUGUGCGCCAAGCACUUCAGCCAGACGCUGUUACCAAGCGCGUGAGCAUCUCCACUUGCCAGGUGGCAAACCGACCAAGGGUGAGAGGAGCCCAGGACCUCAGGCCCUGACACCGCUCCUGGCAAGCUCACGGCUCCAGCGGAAAGAACAGCACCAAAGGCAUUUGAGAUGAGUUCGUAUAGAAUAUAUUUCACUCUUUUAAAAAUAAAACUUUCAGCAUAGCUAACAUCUAUUUCAACUACAAAAAUAAACAUCUUCAUAUAAAUAAUUUAUGUGGUGCGAUGUGGGCGGGGCUGUGGCGCGCCUAUCCAGGAGUCACCAAGCAGUGGGGGACCAGGACUGGCAGAGGGUGCCUCAGGCUGGGUCUGCUGGGGGCAGCAGCCUGGGGUGGGGAGGGGGGCGGGCCUGCCCUGCAGCCUGAAGUGCUGGCUUUUACCCGCCCCAGACACAGCACGCGCACAGAGGACCCGUGCGUGCGAGGCUGCUCACAGCCUCGAGGGUGGUAGUUCUGUGUGGGUACGAAGAGGGUCCGUGAUGGCCGGGUCAAGGGAGGGAUGGAGGCAGAGAGCAGCAGCAGCAGCAGCAGCAGGGCCCCCCAGGAGUCUGCCCUGCCUUCAGUCACCCACCCAGGGCUUCCCAGUGACUUCAUGGGGCCCCCAAAGGGUCUCAGUGCUUUAGCUGCUUUCAUCCGGUGGCUGCACACGGUCCCCUAGAACUGAGGUUGCUGGAGCCGCUGGCAGCGGGUGUGGCAGCAGGGGACCAAGCGGGCUCCUCCGAGGCUGCGUGGAUGUAGGCGCCAGGCAGCGGGGGUGGGCGGAGCGCCACGGUCAUGGAGGUGGUCACUCUGGCAAAGCUCUCGGGCAAGGUGGGUGGCAGCUCCCACCUGAGCCCUCCUGCCCGUGGAGCCGGGGGGCUCGUGACCUCGGGGCUCUCCUUGUACAUCUGUACGACCUGGCAGGGGAGACAUCAGCCCCAGUGAGCUCAGGGGCUCCUGGGGUCCUCCGGUGGCUUCCAGCAGGAUGUGAGAGCUGAUCAAGGACAGGAUGUUGGGCCUGGGGCAAACCCUGCACCCUGCUCGGGACCCCGAAAGGCUAAGAAGGAGGGUGUGGUCACCUCUGGCGGGGGGCCCAGGAUGGACAGCAGCACAGGCAGCAGCACGAGCCCGUGGAGGAGGCCCAGCAGUGCGAGGACGGUCAGCACCACGAAGAAGUACCUGGGGGUGGCGGGGGUCAGCCGGGCAGGUCCCGCGGCCAGGGCCGGCCAGCCCCGCCGCCGUGCCCGAGCCUCCCUACCUGACGAUGAAGUCAAAGUUGGAACCAGCAAGCAUGAGCAGACCCAGCAACGUGGAGACGGCGCCAUCAGUCACCGGGGCGAAUGUGUGCUCCAGGGCGCGGGCAGCCCGCAGGUUCUGGCUACCCUGGGCGGUCAGGAAGCCCUGGGGAACAAAGGGGUCCUGGAGCUGCUCCUCGGCCAACCAGGGCCAGCUCGCCUGCGGGCCCCGGGCUCACCCUCGCCUUGGCCCACGGAAGGCCGGGGCAGCCACGGGAACCAAGUUCCUGGAGUUGACAGACAGAUGUCCAGACCAGGUCGGCACACUACAGUCCAUCGUGUGCCUUUUAUAAAUAAA